UGGGGAAUACUGCACAAUGGGGGAAACCCUGAUGCAGCGACGCCGCGUGAACGAAGAAGGUAUUCGUAUCGUAAAGUUCUGUCCUAUGGGAAGAUAAUGACAGUACCAUAGAAGAAAGCUCCGGCUAAAUACGUGCCAGCAGCCGCGGUAAUACGUAUGGAGCGAGCGUUGUCCGGAAUUAUUGGGCGUAAAGGGUACGCAGGCGGUUUAAUAAGUCGAAUGUUAAAGAUCGGGGCUCAACCCCGCAAAGCAUUGGAAACUGAUAAACUUGAGUAGUGGAGAGGAAAGUGGAAUUCCUAGUGUAGUGGUGAAAUACGUAGAUAUUAGGAGGAAUACCAGUAGCGAAGGCGACUUUCUGGACACAAACUGACGCUGAGGUACGAAAGCGUGGGGAGCAAACAGG
rnacentral:rRNA from 1 species